rnacentral:rRNA from 1 species
UACAGAGGGUGCAAGCGUUAAUCGGAAUUACUGGGCGUAAAGCGUGCGUAGACGGUUAUGUAAGUCAGAUGUGAAAGCCCAGGGCUCAACCUGGGAAUUGCAUUCGAGACUGAAUAGCUAGGGUACGGUAGAGGGAAGUGGAAUUUCCGGUGUAGCGGUGAAAUGCGUAGAUAUCGGAAGGAACAUCAGUGGCGAAAGCGACUUCCUGGACCAGUACCGACGUUCAGGCACGAAAGCGUGGGGAGCAAACAGG